rnacentral:pre_miRNA from 1 species
UGGCUACAAAAUAACUUAUUCUGUGGCCACUUUAAGUUACGAUACUUAUUAUAUUAAUUUAGGAGAUUAUAGUAACUAUAUACUAAGUGGUUUAUUAUAACGUUAUGGUAAAUAUCUCUAUGUGUUAUAGUAACCCAACUAUUGUAAAUAUGUAUUGAUAUUAUCGUAAAUUAGUAUAUAAAAUUAUCGUAAAUGGAGGUGGCUACAGAACAACUUAUUUUGUAGCUG